rnacentral:rRNA from 1 species
UAAUAUAUCGGAACGUACCCUGGAGUGGGGGAUAACGUAGCGAAAGUUACGCUAAUACCGCAUACGAUCUAAGGAUGAAAGUGGGGGCUUCGCAAGAACCUCAUGCUCCUGGAGCGGCCGAUAUCUGAUUAGCUAGUUGGUAGGGUAAAAGCCUACCAAGGCUUCGAUCAGUAGCUGGUCUGAGAGGACGACCAGCCACACUGGAACUGAGACACGGUCCAG